ACUACUUUGGCAGAUUAGUGCAAUGGAUUUAGAAUUUAUAAAUGUAAUAUAUUACAUGUAGUA
rnacentral:tRNA from 1 species